CCCAGCAGCUGUAGUACACCUCCCAGUUUGGUCUCUUGCUCAAAAGACCACGUUCUUCUCCCUCUCUUCUUCCGCUUUGACGUACGUAUACGUUCUUCCGUUGUUGUGCUAAUUAUUUAGUUUGAUUUGCUGAGAGUUGUCCCACAUUGGUGAGGGACAAGGUUUGCUAUGUGCUUGUAUGAUCUUGGGCUACUCCACAUACUGCCAAAUGGUUUUAUGGUGGAACCUCAAAUUUCAUCAUGGUAUCAGAGCAAGAUUGUCCACGUGUGAAGCCCAACGGCCACACGCGCUCCACGUCAUCCAGUUGUUGUCCACGUGUAGGCUUGAAAAUCCACCACAUGUGCGGGGGCAUGUUGAGAGUUGUCACAUAUUGGUGAGAGACAAUGUUUGAAAAUAAAGAAAUAUAGAAAGUCAACAAAUAUGAUCGAGGAUCGCGGAUGUGUUGAUAUGUUUUGAUACGGGUGAGUGGAUUCCAUGCUAUGCUUGUCAAGUGAGCAGUCCCUUUGCAAAUAAUCUUAGUUUCGUUGUCUGUUCGUCCUGAAACCUAAGGUAAAGGUUAGGCAUAUAUAGUACCCUUGAAAACCCUAAUUAGAAAGUAAUCAUGGUUUUUUCUUUCUAAAUUAAUCAACUUGAUUGAUCAUCUAAGAAGUUAAACAAGGCAGCUUAUUAGUAGGUAACUAGCUAUUUUUUUCUGUGGCAUCUUGGAGUAUGACCUAUUAGUUGAUCGAGAUCGACUGCAGUAACCUAUAAAUUUAUUGAGUUAUCCAUAAAACAGUCAUUAACCUAGAAGGAAAAAAAAAAAAAAAAAAAAGCAAAAACUCCCAAGCUAAUCCAGUUUAUAUAUAUGCAGUUAUCCGAUUCAUUUGGGAAGUGGUUUAGGUAUCUUUUGGCUUUCCUUCUUUUCCUUUUGAAAUAUGAAGAA